rnacentral:rRNA from 1 species
AGUGAACGCUGGCGGUAGGCCUAACACAUGCAAGUCGAACGGCAGCACAGUAAGAGCUUGCUCUUACGGGUGGCGAGUGGCGGACGGGUGAGGAAUACAUCGGAAUCUACUUUUUCGUGGGGGAUAACGUAGGGAAACUUACGCUAAUACCGCAUACGACCUACGGGUGAAAGCAAGGGAUCUUCGGACCUUGCGCGAUUGAAUGAGCCGAUGUCGGAUUAGCUAGUUGGCGGGGUAAAGGCCCACCAAGGCGACGAUCCGUAGCUGGUCUGAGAGGAUGAUCAGCCACACUGGGACUGAGACACGGUCCAGACUCCUACGGGAGGCAGCAGUGGGGAAUAUUGGACAAUGGGCGCAAGCCUGAUCCAGCCAUACCGCGUGGGUGAAGAAGGCCUUCGGGUUGUAAAGCCCUUUUGUUGGGAAAGAAAAGCAGCAGGUUAAUACCCCGCUGUUCUGACGGUACCCAAAGAAUAAGCACCGGCUAACUUCGUG